UACGUAGGGAGCAAGCGUUGUCCGGAAUCAUUGGGCGUAAAGCGCGCGUAGGUGGCUUCGUAAGUCCGUUGUGAAAGUCAAAAGGCUCAACCUUUGAAAGCCGAUGGAUACUGUGGAGCUAGAGUACGGAAGAGGCGAGUGGAAUUCCUGGUGUAGCGGUGGAAUGCGCAGAUAUCAGGAGGAACACCAAUGGCGAAGGCAGAUCUCUGGGCCGUAACUGACGCUGAGGAGCGAAAGCAUGGGGGAGCGAACAGG
rnacentral:rRNA from 1 species